rnacentral:rRNA from 1 species
UGCAUAGCCGAGUUGAGAGACUGAUCGGCCACAUUGGGACUGAGACACGGCCCAAACUCCUACGGGAGGCAGCAGUAGGAAUCUUCCACAAUGGACGCAAGUCUGAUGGAGCAACGCCGCGUGAGUGAAGAAGGUUUUCGGAUCGUAAAGCUCUGUUGUUGGUGAAGAAGGAUAGAGGUAGUAACUGGCCUUUAUUUGACGGUAAUCAACCAGAAAGUCACGGCUAACUACGUGCCCAGCAGCCGCGGUAAAU